GGGAUCAUUCACCUAUUUGCAUCGGCUUGUUCACUCAGUGGUAAUUAUGAUGGUGUUGACUGCUAAAAUAAACUACUUAAGGAUUAAUUCAAGGGUGAGAUUUCAAGGCCACAACAUAAUAAGUAUCUGGAUCAUUUCUUAUAAUUAAGAAACUCACGGUGUCAGAACGAUAUCGAUUUUUCAAAAGUUUUCCUAAGUCUCUGCAACCUAUCCUAAACUUGUCUAACAACCCAAAUUUUCAAAAUAACAGCUGUUUUCUUACUCAAAAAAUUUGUUAUGGCUCAAGAAAUGGGGGGAAAUAGACAAACUACACAUACGACUCGUCAAGCACAUGUAAUUAUUAAGAACAAACUAGAAGCAUAAUUAAA
rnacentral:lncRNA from 1 species